UGGUAACCCUGCUCAGUAGGAAAGGAAGUUGCAGGUUCAAGCAUCUGGUGCAUGUGCUUGGCUGGGGGGCCAUAGAGGCAGAGCUGCCAUCUGUGGGAUUAUGACUGAAUGCCUCUAAGUGAGAACCCUACCAA
rnacentral:ncRNA from 1 species